GUGUUCAAUGACUUUUCCCCUGUUAAUCAUUGAAAAUCUGUUGAGGCUAUCUUUUAUUCAGUAAGUUACAAUGUGGAAUAGAGAAAAAUUCCUGGAAACCAUGAAUCAACAGAUUCUUUGCCAUCCAUGUGUACCACAAUGAAAAGAUUUUCUUCAUGAAUUUAUGCUGAAUGCCGAUGUUCUUUGUCUUAUUCUGAAGAAAUGAAGAUGUUUUCAGUCCCACUUCUCACUACUGACCUUCCUCGUUCGGCAGUCACUGACCUGGCGCCUCUCUGGGGUUCUACCCAGAAGAUUAGCCUCCGCUGCAGUCCCUCUG